rnacentral:lncRNA from 1 species
AAUUGAUGUAAAUAGUAUCCACAGUUGAUAUACAUCUCAGCAAAUGUACUGUUAUAUGUAUCUUCAUAAAUAUAAAAUAAUGCCUCAUAAGAAAGGUGAAUGAUAACAAAGGAAAAUUCAAACUGAUAGUUAAAAAUAAAUUGUGAUCGCAGUGUCUUUUACAGAAUACGACCAACAGACACACUACAACAUAGAAAACCAAAGACUUAGCCAGACAACACCCACCAGAAACUAGUGGAGAUCUCAGGUGCUCCGGAAGGACAACAAAUCCUGCUCAUCAAAUGGCGCCCAUCAUCUUGCUUAUAUUUUUACAUACCCGCUGAUAAGUCGAAUUCGAAAGACUACGUUAAUGACAAAAGGGAAAAAAUGUAGUUACGACAUGUGUGGAAUCUGUAUGUGAAACGGAUUAUCUUACUGGUCAACGACCUCAUGAUGGUGUCCGUAAAAAUCAGGAAGGGAUGAUGUCAGCUUAAUUACUUGGAAC